CCUACGGGAGGCAGCAGUGAGGAAUAUUGCACAAUGGGGGCAACCCUGAUGCAGCAACGCCGCGUGAACGAUGAAGGCCUUCGGGUUGUAAAGUUCUUUUCUGGGGGAAGAUAGUGACGGUACCUCAGGAAUAAGUCCCGGCUAACUACGUGCCAGCAGCCGCGGU
rnacentral:rRNA from 1 species